rnacentral:rRNA from 1 species
CCGUCGUCAGUUCGUACUGUGAAGCAUCCUGUUAAGUCAGGCAACGAGCGAGACCCACGUCCACAGUUGCCAGCAUACCCUCCGGGGUGAUGGGUACACUGUGGAGACCGCCGCUGCUAAAGCGGAGGAAGGAAUGGGCAACGGUAGGUCAGUAUGCCCCGAAUCUCCCGGGCUACACGCGGGCUACAAUGGUUGGUACAAUGGGCAUCUACCCGAAAGGGGAAGGAAAUCUCUUAAAGCCAAUCGUAGUUCGGAUUGAGGGCUGCAACUCGCCCUCAUGAAGCUGGAAUCCGUAGUAAUCGCGUUUCAACAGAACGCGGUGAAUACGUCCCUGCUCCCUU